rnacentral:lncRNA from 1 species
GCAGCCCCCAGGGCCACCCCACCUUGAUGAGGUCCCCGAGCAGCUUGUUGGCCUCGGUGUAGGCCUUCUUGACCUCCUUGAACUUGUGUCCCAGCCCCAUGGCGUGGGCCUGGAAGUGCAGGUUGGUGUACUGCCCCCCCGGGAUCUCGUUCUCGUACACGUCGGCGUUCCCCGACUUCAUGGUGGCCGUGCAGUCAAACGCGGCGUAGAGACCCCGCGCCCCCUCCCAGUACUCGCUGUACUCGAACACGCGCUCCAGGGAGAUGCCUGGGGACACGAGGGGACAUCGUGGGGACACUGAGGGGACACUGAGGGGACAGGGACACCGUGGGGACACUGAGGGGACAGGGACACUGAAGGGACACCUCCCAGUACUCGCUGUACUCAAACACGCGCUCCAGGGAGAUGCCUGGGGACACCAAGGGGACAUGAGGGGACACUGAGGGGACACCGAGGGGACACCGUGGGGACACUGAGGGGACACUGAGGGGACAGGGACAUCAUGGGGACACCAUGGGGACACUGAGGGGACACUGAGGGGACAGGGACAGCGUGGGGACACCUCCCAGUACUCGCUGUACUCGAACACGUGCUCCAGGGAGAUGCCUGGGGACACGAGGGGACACUGAGGGGACACCGUGGGGACAUCGUGGGGACACAGUGCGGGUGUGGUGAUGGAGGUGCCGUGGAUUGGGAAUAAAGUCCUGGUGGUGGUGGCACCUCCAGGGCUGUGGUGGCAUCACCAUGACUGUGGUGGCUCCUCAAGGCCUUGGUGACACCUCCAAACCCUGAUUGUCCCCUUCAACCCUUGGUGACAUCUCAAACCCUUGGUGGCCACUCGAACUCUGAUUGUCCCUCCAGCUCUUGAUGUCCUCUACACACCCUUGUUGUCCCCUCCAAACCCUUGGUGACAUCUCAAACCCUCAUUGUCCCCUCCAAACCCUUGGUGACAUCUCAAACCCUCGUUGUGCUCUCCAACCCUUGGUGUCCCCUCCAAACCCUCAUUGUCCCCUCCAAACCCUCGCUGUCCCUCCACCCCUCGGUGCCACCCCCCCGCGGCCGUCCCCACCUGUGUCCAGCGGCGUCCCCC